rnacentral:rRNA from 1 species
GAUCAUGGCUCAGAUUGAACGCUGGCGGCAUGCUUUACACAUGCAAGUCGAACGGUAACAGGGAAAAGCUUGCUUUUCUGCUGACGAGUGGCGAACGGGUGAGUAACACAUCGGAACGUGCCCUGUAUGGGGGAUAACUACUCGAAAGAGUGGCUAAUACCGCAUACAACCUGAGGGUAAAAUGGGGGACCGCAAGGCCUCACGCUAUAGGAGCGGCCGAUGGAAGAUUAGGGUAGUUGGUAGGGUUAAAAGGCCUACCAAGCCGACGAUCUUUAGCGGGUCUGAGAGCAUGAUCCCCCACACGGGUACUGAGACACGGACCCGACUCCUACGGGAGGCAGCAGUAAGGAAUAUUGGACAAUGGUCGGAAGACUGAUCCAGCCAUGCCGCGUGAAGGAUGAAGGCGCUCAGCGUUGUAAACUUCUUUUGUACGGGAACAAAAUGCGACCUGCGGGUUGUACUGAGGGUACCGUAAGAAUAAGCACCGGCUAACUCCGUG